UUUAAAUAGCUGCAGUAUUUUAACUGUACAAAGGUAGCGUAGUAAUUAGUCUUUUAAAUGAGGUCUCGUAUGAAUGGUUUGACAAGAGGAAAACUUUAUUAAAUUAAUUAUAUAAAUUUUAUUUUUUAGUUAAAAAGCUAAAAUUUUUAAAUGGGACGAUAAGACCCUAUAGAUCUUUAAAUUUUUAUUAUUUAAACUAAUUAAAGGUUAUUUAAAUUUUAUUUAUGAAAAUUUUUUGUUGGGGUGACAGAUAAAAUUAUAAAACUUUAAUUUUUAUUUACAUUUAUUAAUGGGCUUCAUGAACCCUAAAUUUGGGUUGCUAAAAUAAGAUACCUUAGGGAUAACAGCGUAAUAAAUUUGUAAAGUUCUUAUAGAUAAAUUUGUUUACGACCUCGAUGUUGAAUUAAUUUAAAGUUUUGGAGUAGAAAUUAAAAUUUUAGGUCUGUUCGACCUUUAAAAGAUUACA
rnacentral:rRNA from 1 species